GUGAUCUUAGUUUAAGGUUAAAAUUUCUGCUUUGCACGCAGAGGAUUCAGAAAAUCUGGAGACCACA
rnacentral:tRNA from 2 species